GUUUUCAGUCACUGGCUGCUAUAUGCAGAGCCUCUGCCUCAAAGGAAGAAUGCUUCCCCUCUCUAUCACUCCUAUUACUGUCAAGUUUAAUCUUGUUUUCCUGUAUGAAAGUUAUUGUACCCAGGGCUGUGAAAAGGAUUUUGAGCUUUACACAGAUGAGGUCUUCAUGUUGCUCAGAAUAUGAAAUGGGUGCUUGCAGAGAAGGUGGUAACAUUACAGGUGGGGAUAGUGCUAAUCUUCUCUACUCCUAAGGACUUCUAAAUCAGGAUCUAGGGCUCUCAAAAUGGUUGUCCCAAGAUUUGAGAUCAAAUUGUGGUAUCUAUUCUGUCUCAUACCCCAAAAACGAGGCAGUAUUUCAUCGGUCUCAGGCAGCUGCUGUGUGGAGGGUGUAUUUUCCUGGCACUUUUAAUUAAAGGAUAAGAAAUGAAACGGUGGUGCAGAGACAUAGCGUCUCCCUGGGGUCUGAGAGCAGAUUAGCGUGAGGCCUCGAAUAGCAGGAGCCAAAGCUUACUUCUGAUUAUAGCUGAGCAGCAAAACAAACAUCAGAACACAGGACAGAAACAGCGUGAAUGAUGGCUGCUGAAGCCUCUUUCCCAUGCCUGCCUGAUCCCAGGACUGGCUAAAAACUGUACAUCUCGUGAGACUGCAUCUAACACAUCAUCUGUCUGCCUGAAGAGUGUUUAAGUGGAGCACACGAGUCCUCUCACACUGCCUUGAAUUAAGUACCAACAACGCACGUGACUGAGCCUCUCCAAGGCUUGAGCAGCUUUCCAACGUGUUGUCCUAAGGCAAUGACAGAGCACAGACCUUGGAUCACAGCAUUCACAUGCUGAAACCAUGCAGAGAUGACUAGGGAGAACACUGUUCACAGUUAACACCCUUUUGAUUUCCCCCACCUUGUUGCCCCUGAAAGACUGUCCACCACAGCGACAAACAAGCUAUAACGAUACCGUUCUACUUGGCAAACCCAAGUACUGCUCUACUCAACGGCCAGAGAAGGAGUAGUGGACUCCUACCAUACCCUCCUGCAGUUCUUUAUAGAGCUUAGAGCUUUGUUUUGGAGGAGCCUGGAAUUUAUAUUCAUUUUCCUCAUACACAAAAGUUUCUCUUGAAAAUGUGUUGCAACCAGGCUGCACCAGUGAAUCUAGACAGCCAUGGCAAAAGCUGCUUCAGGGUCUCAGAAGCAGACCAAAGAUGAAGAUGUGUUGUGUGAUUGCUGUAACUGGGGCUUACAAGCAGUGAGUGGGGAGUAAACUAGGCAUGCUGAUGAAUGCUGGGUAGGGAAUGAAAUGUGGGGUUUUGAAACUUAACACCUUAAUCAACAGGCCUAUAGAGACUACAAAUUUGCUUUUGCAAAAAUUCAAACAGGAUUUUUUCCCUUACAAACCAUUUACUUCAGGCAGUCCACCCAGAUGAAUCCCACCACUCCUUACUGGAAAUGGACCACAUGGCAUGCCAGAGGCAAGUUCUAAUAUCACUCCCACAAAUUAAAAAGGAUCAUUCUCUGGGAAGCAUCUUGUGUAACAGCAUAUUCUGCCAAGUAACAAGCAAUAGGACAAGAGGAAAUGGCCUCAAGUCGUGCCAGGGGAGGUUUUGAUUGGGCAUGAGGAACAAUUUCUUCCCCAAAAGGGUUGUCAAGCUGUAGAGCAGGCUGCCCAGGGAAGUGGUGGAGUCAUCAUCCCUGGAGGGAUUCAAAAGCUGUGGAGAUGUGGUGCUGAGAGGCAUGGUUUAGCAGCAUUGGACUUUAUGACCUUAAGAGCCUUGUCUAACUUGAACGGUUCUAUGAUUCCUGACU